rnacentral:lncRNA from 1 species
UGGAGAACAUUUUCUUCGCAAAAGGAAUUGACUGGAAGCACAAAACAAGAAUAUACACUGCCACAAAGUAAAGAAUUUACACAUUUGACCGAACUUUUUGCCUUAUAUAAUGGCAUAUUUGGUUUUUAGGCAUCAAAAUGCUGUUUCCACCAAGUAACGAAUGCAAAUACAAAAUACAGAGUGAACAUUUUGCUUCCAUAAUAGGAAAAUCAAGUUUCCAACACAAUAAACCACCCUUCGUUAUCCAUGGACAUUUUUCUGUAAGCAACCGAGGGCGCCUAUGGU